rnacentral:misc_RNA from 1 species
GAUGAAGAACGUAGCGAAAUGCGAUAAGUAAUGUGAAUUGCAGAAUUCAGUGAAUCAUCGAAUCUUUGAACGCACAUUGCGCCCAUUAGUAUUCUAGUGGGCAUGCCUGUUCGAGCGUCAUUAAGUCCACUUAAGCCCUGCUUAGUGUUGGGAGACUGCUCCAGCGGUGCUACCCUGUAGCUACCCUGCAGCUCCUCAAAGACGGCGGCGGAGUUGUGGUAUCCUCUGAGCUUAGUAACUUGUUCUAGCUUUCGAGUACACCACUUCCCCUGCCGUAAAACCCUUAAUUUUUAAUGGUUGACCUCGGAUCAGGUAGGAAUACCCGCUGAACUUAAGCAUAUCAAUAAGCGGAGGA